GAUGAACGCUGGCGGCGUGCCUAAUACAUGCAAGUCGAGCGAACUGAUUAGAAGCUUGCUUCUAUGACGUUAGCGGCGGACGGGUGAGUAACACGUGGGCAACCUGCCUGUAAGACUGGGAUAACUUCGGGAAACCGAAGCUAAUACCGGAUAGGAUCUUCUCCUUCAUGGGAGAUGAUUGAAAGAUGGUUUCGGCUAUCACUUACAGAUGGGCCCGCGGUGCAUUAGCUAGUUGGUGAGGUAACGGCUCACCAAGGCAACGAUGCAUAGCCGACCGGAGAGGGUGAUCGGCCACAGUGGGACUGAGACACGGGCCAGACUCCUGCGGGAGGCAGCAGUAGGGACUCUUCCGCAAUGGACGAAAGUCUGACGGAGCAACGCCGCGUGGGUGAUGAAGGCUUUCGGGUCGUAAAACUCUGUUGUGAGGGAAGAACGAGUACAAGAGUAACUGCUUGUACCUUGACGGUACCUAACCAGAAAGCCACGGCUAACUACGUGCCAGCAGCCGCCGUAACAC
rnacentral:rRNA from 1 species